CACGUGGGGAACCUGCCCUUCUCUCUGGGAUAACGUCGGGAAAUCGGCGCUAAUACCGGAUACUCCGUGCGGAUCGCAUGAUCUGUAGGGGAAAGCUCCGGCGGAGAUGGAUGGCCCCGCGGCCCAUUAGCUUGUUGGUGAGGUAACGGCUCACCAAGGCGACGAUGGGUAGCCGAGCUGAGAGGCUGACCGGCCACACUGGGACUGAGACACGGCCCAG
rnacentral:rRNA from 1 species